UGGGGAAUAUUGCGCAAUGGGGGAAACCCUGACGCAGCGACGCCGCGUGCGGGAUGAAGGCCUUCGGGUUGUAAACCGCUUUUGAUUGGGAGCAAGCUUUCGGGUGAGUGUACCUUUCGAAUAAGGACCGGCUAAUUACGUGCCAGCAGCCGCGGUAAUACGUAAGGUCCGAGCGUUGUCCGGAAUCAUUGGGCGUAAAGGGUACGUAGGCGGGUAAGCAAGUUAGAAGUGAAAUCCUGUAGCUCAACUACAGUAAGCUUUUAAAACUGCUCAUCUUGAGAUAUGGAAGGGAAAGUGGAAUUCCUAGUGUAGCGGUGAAAUGCGCAGAUAUUAGGAGGAAUACCGGUGGCGAAGGCGACUUUCUGGCCAUAAUCUGACGCUGAGGUACGAAAGCGUGGGUAGCAAACAGG
rnacentral:rRNA from 1 species